AUGGAACAGACGGAGCUGAGAUUUUCAAAAGGGCCUGUCCUCAGGGUGGGGGGGGUUCAACCGCGUGAGGAUCCACCUGGGCCCGCAGGGUUCCCAGUGCAUCGCCGGGACAUCAGGCAUGGUCCCCAGGGCCCACCCUGCUCGCUCUGCAGAAGGCUGACGGCCACGGACCACUGCCCGGGUCCCCACCCUCCGGCCUCCAGCGGCGCUCGGCCAGUGGGAGCCCCAGCAGGAGGUCGGAGGGAGGAAGCUUCCAUCAGGCUUCGCGAAGGAGGGGCCGUGUCUGUCCUGCUCACUCUGAAACCUGCAGCACAACCAGCACUCAGAACAGAGGCCCUGAUGGACGAGCGUGCGCUCACGGCCCUGCGGGAACUGGGCCGAAGGUGCCGGGCGGGACACGCACUGGGGCUCAGAGGAGGGAGGUGGACGGCUGUGCAGGGAUGGGUGGACCUGACGGAGAAGGAGGACAGGGUGGCCCGAGGGGAGGCGGCCUGUGCUGGGGCCUGGAGGUCUCUGGAGGGAAACCAGGCCUGCGGGCAGCCAGAGGGCAAACAGCAGACCCCCUGCCCGGCCAGCCAGGCUCAGGGUUUCACUCAAGACGAGCCUGUUUUCUGGAAGUCUCCCGCGAAGGUGCGAGACGCAGCCGUCCUGAAACUCAAGCUCUUCUCAUUCUGAAUUUCGUUUCGGCUCAGGCCCCUACCUUGACGCGCUCACAGGAGAAACGAGCGAAGUUUCGAGGCCGUGAAGACCAAGGUAGUUCCAUAGUGACAAGGUGCCCGGCUCGCGGGAUUAGUCAGGCACCUUUCUGAUAAGAAAAGCGAAAACGCGAAGUUGCAAACUGAAGACGCCCUGCAACUUCCUGAAUCCAGGGCUCCGCGUCCCGCCCGAGGGAACAAGCGACGCCCCCGGAGCGCGUCCUUGGUGGAAGUCCCUCGUUUCACUGCGGGGGAAGGGGAACUGCUGGGGGAGGUUUGGUUUCAGGAUCUCACCUCCUUGCCCGUGUUGCGGGGCGGGGGGGGGGGGGUCCCGGGGCCCUGGCAUUCCCUCCGGACAUCGCCGGGGCAGCCCGACCCUUGGCAACACCUGCCUCUUCCUGGGCAGCUGCUGGCAUGGCCGGGUGGCGGGGCCGCACAGUUGCGACACGGCUGCUGAGGUUUCUGCGGCCCCUCUGGUCAGGAGGCAGCCCAGGUGCUGUGGGCAAAACAUGUGCCAGAGACGGAAUUAGAGCCCCUGGAAAAGAACACCGCCCUGCCCCGUUGUGCCCCGGGCUGGUCUCUGGACCCGUGCCCUGUGCCAACAUGCACGCCUGCAUUCAGGGACCAGGAGCCCGGCGUCCCCACUCUUUGGUGAGACGUUCUGGGUUGGGGUCCUGGAGCUGCUCCCCCGAAUGGGCCUCUGUUUUCCCAUCUGUACAGUGGCUCAGCUAAUGGGCCUGUUUCCCAGGGAGGCUGGCAGGACUGAGCAGUCCUCAGGGGCUUGUCAUAGAG
rnacentral:lncRNA from 1 species